rnacentral:misc_RNA from 1 species
UUUUCCUUGUUUUUAUUUAGUAGCUGUUCUCUCAAACCAAUUUUCGUCUGACAGUUGUUGGUGAAUUAACUGGUUUGAAGAACUAUUUUACCCAGAGCCACGGAAAGACGCCAUGUUUCCUCUGCUGGCUUCCUGUGGUGGUGGCGUACAAUAGGCUUGUGAAGAAGAGUGGGAGCGUGCUAAAGCUUAGGGAAAUUGCUGAUUUUAUUUGAAAGAACCUACGUCCCACUUGUAUUUCAGUAUGGCUCGUGACAGCAGGAUCUACGUCGGCAAUUUGCCCCCAGACAUCAGAACUAGAGAUAUCGAAGAUUUGUUUUACAAAUAUGGAAAAAUCACAUUUAUUGACUUGAAAAACAAGAGAGGCCCACCAUUUGCUUUCGUUGAAUUUGAGGACCCAAGAGAUGCAGAAGAUUCUGUGAGACAGAGAGAUGGCUACAACUAUGAUGGUUACACAUUACGUGUCGAAUUCCCAAGAGGCAGUGGGGCAAUGGGAGGGGGCAGAGGCGGUUUUAGAGGAAGAGGAGGAUUUGGAGGGGGCAGAGGGGGUCCUCCAUCAAGACGGACUCAGUAUAGAGUUCUUGUAUCAGGGCUGCCUCCGAGUGGCAGUUGGCAGGACUUGAAGGAUCACAUGAGAGAAGCUGGCGAUGUUUGCUAUGCAGAUGUGUUCAAAGACGGAACAGGUGUUGUAGAGUUUCUACGCAAAGAAGACAUGAAGUAUGCUGUCAGGAAACUGGAUGACACUAAGUUUAGGUCUCAUGAGGGUGAGGUUGCAUAUAUUCGUGUGAAGGAAGACAACCCCCGCUCGUCCAGAAGUCGCAGCCCCUCGCCAAGACGCUCUAGAGGCAGCCCAAGAUAUUCUCCAAUUAGAGAUAGAGAGCAACGCUCCUAAAACGUCUCUGGUCAGGAUGGGAGACCGUCCAGAGGAGAUGGAGCGCUGGAGUCGGAUGGAUGGAAGAGGUCAAGGGAAGGGCUAAAGUGGUCGAGGAGGAUGCGGCCUUGUCUGGUCUCCUUGCUUCCUCUCUCCCUCCCGUCCAUCGGUGGCUCCUUAUUUUGUCGUUACGUUAUCGGAGGAUGAAUGCCUCAAUGUUUCAUGCAUAAAUGGAUAAGGAUUGGAAAAGAUUGGAAGGGAAGGAAUCUAAGGCUAAAGGAAAUGGAUUGGAUUUGGAUUAUAGGCAUUAUGGAUUUGGAAUGGAUAAAUUGGAAGGAGGAUGCAUUGGACUCUGAAUUGGGAAUGGAAAUCGGAACAAACACGGACUAGGAUCAUUGGAAGGAAUGGAUAAAGAAAUCAUGGGAUCUGAAGGAAUGAGCAUGUAAUUUGAAUAAGCAUGAAUCACAUGCAACAUUUUUUCUAUGUAGACACCUAGCAAUGGAUCUUUUUUGCUUGGAGACUUGCAAAGCAAUGCCUGGAAACACUGCCAGAAGGCUGAAACCAUCCCUUGUUUUGCAAAUUGGAAAGGAUGCUUUGUCGUGGAAUAUUCGGAUUUACGAGUCCGUUGGAAAACUCAACGAUGGAGACUUUUUUAUGGGUUGCGAGUAGGACUUGGGAGUGGGUUGGUUUGGUCACUAAGUCGAGAUUCCAUUCCAUACAGUAUACAGUACAGGUACCAUGGGUUAAUGCGAUCUUUAUCAAAAUCGAGAUUCUCGGCCACACUGGCACAAUAUAAAAUGGGAAGAGGAUUUUGGUUAUCGGAAGGAGGGAGGGGGUGCACUUUUAUAACUGCCCCUUGAAUUUUCUAACUCUUCCUAUCACUUUAUAUAAAGUUCCUUCCGAUUUUCAUUUUGUCUUCCAGUUUAUGGGGGAAAAUAUGCACCGUAUUGAACAAAAAAAAUUAUAUAAAUAGUGUGGAUUCUAAUUGGUAUAGGUAUUGACGGAUGUGAUCAAUUUUGUGCCCUCAGCUUAUGGAGGUCAUGAAACUUUUUUUUUUAAUGUGG